CCCCCCCUCCCCCAAGGACGGACCCCAGACACGCGACGCUCAGGGAGGGAACCAGACCUGAGAGGCCAAGCGGGGUAGAACCUUUUCAGUCGUGGCGCUCAGUUUCUUCAGCUACAAAAUGGGCUGAUCGAGGGAGAGGGCAGGUCAGGAUGACCGCAGCGAGGGACCACUAAAGGUUAAUCUAAUCGCACGGAACGAGGUACGCACACAGAACAUGCCCCACUGAUCUGGGUACAAAGAGAUGGCCACGUUUUGGAGAUGUGGCCGUCUUCCGACAAAGCACAAGCUUUAAGAGUGAAAGCAAUGCCGUCGGAGACACAGAGGAGAUCGCUUCCGAACCCGUCCACGAAGGCCUGGCCCAUCCGGCCCCGGCAAGCGACAAACUAACCCAGACCAAGGCCGACACACCUUUUCUGUACAGGAUCACACGGGAGUGGUUUGGGGUGAACGUGCCCCCGGAUGAGCCAGGUCCUGAUCCACAUGACGCAGAUGGGGCAGCUCAAGCGGGGCGAUGCCCGCAUCCCCCGAAAUGCGCCAUGGCGAGGUGCAGCACUGUCACUCGGACGCCGAAGGACGGGAGCGCAAACGUGAGCGCCGGACUAGAGGAGGAGCGGCCAGCAGAGCCACCCCGAGGGUUCUGGGCUCCUCUGUGCAAAGGCUCCCGGGCCCCGGACAGCCCUGAACUCAGGGCCAAACAGCAGCCGCCUUCUCCCAGCGUGCGUGCAGGCCUGAUGGGCUGCCCCGGGGGGAGCCGCGGCCUUCAGUGCCUCGCUCUCCUGUGGCCACCUGGGCCUAGGGCCCGAGCACUUACUUCAGAGUCCCGGUCGUACUGGAGAGCCAAGGCCGCGGACGACAGGUGCCCCGUAGCUGGCAGGGGUUUCUAUCAGGUCCCGGCAAGGGUGAUGGUUCCUACGGUGCACAAAAUAAAAGCACAAUGAGCUAAACGGAUCGCAUGCUUAAAUCUCAAUUCCAGACUCUACUCCUAACAGCUGCGUGUAGCCCAAGGAUACUGCCUUUACCCAGACAUUUCCAAAUCCUUGCCAAUUUGCAAGAACAGUAAAAUCAUAGCUGUAAGCACUUUCCCCAUUGAAGUCCUGCAACAACUGCCCGUUUUAGGCUCGGCCCCUAAAAAUCAGUAGCUGAUGAAGUGAGGGCUCCAUGAGACAAUCAAAUUAAACCAAAGGAGCUUCUGGAAACCUUAAGAUUCAGGCAGCUCCUCAGAGGUUUAUAAGAAGUUCUGCCUCCUCCAAAGCCCCCCAGUCAGAAAGGCACCCCUCCAAGGAGGAGAGUCACAGGGACAACACGUAUGUCUGGCGACCAGUGAUGACACCCCCGGCAGGCGGAGAGCACAGGCAGAGGACAGAGCAGGGGCUGUACGGGGCCAAGACCCUCGGAGGGCAGGGUCCGAGCCAGUGAAUGCACCGCUGGGCACAGAGACACCCCAACACUAUUGAGUGGACACAGGACAAGACUCCCAACCUUCGGUGUAGCCCUGGCACCUUGGACAACCCGGGCUAUCAGCUCUCCCGGAUGCUCCCACGUUUUCUCUUAUUUUUGUCGGGUUUUUUAAAUUCCUGAGCACGACCCCAUUAAACAGAUCACACCGUCUCCUCCCAGGUCAGACCCCCGGUUGAAAGCGUCAAGCUGUGGGACUGCCCGACCUCGGCUGCGCCCCUCUUCUGGGCAAGGUAAAUAAACUCCCGAGGCCUCCCCGGCCUGCGCCUGCGCCCCGCGCAGCUGCCUCCCCCCCUCCACAGCCCCGCUAGCACCUGCCGGAGGCAAGGCUCAAGUCUGAGGACCCCUCCCUGGAGGUGUGGCUGGCAGAGCGCAGCCCCCAGGAUGUCCACGCCCUCAAGCCCUCAUCCCUGCAACCUGAGGCCCCGCUCCCUUCCGCAGCAGAGGGGACUCUGCAGGUUAAGGACCUUCAGGCGGGAAGAUGACCCUGGGUCACGGGCGGAGCAGGAGGGUCAGAGAAGGCGACACGACAAUAGGAGCAGAGGCCGCACCGUCACACUGGGAAGGAGGAAGGUGGUGCCCCUCGAAGCCGCACAGGCAAAGAACGGACUCCCGCCGGAGCCACCGGACGGAGCCGGCCCUGCCCACGCCUCGGCGGCAGCCCCGUCAGACCCGUGCCCGCGUCCUGGCCUCCCGAUCGGGGGCAUCGGUGUGUGCGGUUUUCAGUCACGAAGCGUGGUUCCCCGUUACAGCGGCACAGGGACACUCACACGGUGGCUUCUGUGUGCAUUUCACGGAUUUCAGGGGCGUGGAGAGAUCUCUUCACUUCCACUGACCGAGCGGACUCUAGGCCGCGAGCUGCUGGCCUCGGGCUUUUUUGCUCCUGUGUCGAGGGGAUCACAUGUCUCCCUCCUCGCUCCUGACGGUCUCUGCACAGGCUGUUCCCACGCUGGACAUGGGCCGCACCCACCAGCACGUGGUCUGAAAGGCAGAGACCACCAGGGCCCGUGGUUCUGAGCUGGACAGACCCAGCGCUGCCGGGCCACCAAGACCAUGGGUCCUACUACCCUCCUGCUCUGGGGGACAACGGCACUGACCCCCAAGCUGGGAGGCCGGGGUCGGGCCCCAGUUCUGUGGCCACAGCCCAAAGACAGCCUCUGUCCACCCUGACCCAUGUCCACAGUGACCAAGGGGCCAGGCCCACCUGCCUCCACUGCUCCUUCAGGGGCCGCGUCCCCUACCCACCCCCCACCCCCGCCCGCACAUGGCUGGCCAGCAGCCACCCUGGAGGUGCUGGGAUGCCAGAGCCUGGCCUCAGGGCCCUGAAGCGUGGGCUGGGCACAGUGACAGCCUCCCAAACAGGACAGCAUGGGAACAGGGAAGGGAGUGAGCUUACAGUGGAGACACUGGACGGCCCACCUCAGCCGGGGGACCAAGGCCAACACCGCGGUGACAGCACGCACCCCCGGGGUGGUGUCAGGGGGAGGGCGCUUCACUCGGGGAGUCCUCCUCCCUAAACCCAUCGCCCCAGUCUCACUACGAGAAAAGCCGCAGACGCACCCAAGGAAGGGCCUUCUAGAAAACCCCUGCCCGGGCCUCUCAAAACUGUCACGGAGCAUGGAGCUGAACAGAGUGCGGACUUUACUUACUAAGAAUGUAUCAACAUUGGUUCAUUAACUGCAACAAAUGCUCCAGCCUGAGAGGAGGUCCCAGUGGGGAGACCAUGUGGGGUGCGGGGAGCACUCUCAAUUUCUCUGUCCCAGCAAGAUGCUUUAAAAAAAUAAAGUCUAAGUAACGUUUUUAAAGAAAAACAAAACAGAAAGGCCCAGGCAAGGCAGGCUGGGUUUGAUGCUUCCUGUUGCCCAGGCUGGCCUGGCCCAGCCGCUGACCUCACUGUGGGCCCCGGGAAAUCUGGGGCGCUAAGAAUAGAACCCGGGAAGGGAGUCCGGUUGCAACAAGGUAAGAGCCUGCAGUGGCGACCUGAGACAUCAGACAUCGAUGUCCCUAAAAGGGGACCAUCUGACCAUCCCUCCUUUAAAAAGGCACAAUCUGACCACUGGAAGAGGCCGUUACUCUGAGCGCGGGCAUGCAGGGGCUGAAGCAGCAGGCUGGGUGGUGUUCGCUUCACCCCCACCCCGACCCUGCAAAGGGCAGGCAGGCGGGGCCAGGAAGCAGC